rnacentral:rRNA from 1 species
CCUACGGGAGGCAGCAGUGGGGAAUAUUGCACAAUGGGGGAAACCCUGAUGCAGCGACGCCGCGUGAAGGAAGAAGUAUUUCGGUAUGUAAACUUCUAUCAGCAGGGAAGAAAAUGACGGUACCUGACUAAGAAGCCCCGGCUAACUACGUGCUAGCAGCCGCGGUAAUACGUAGGGGGCAAGCUGUAUCCGGAUUUACUGGGGGUAAAGGGAGCGUAGGCGGCGAUGCAAGUCAGAGGUGAAAGCCGGGGGAUAAACUCCGGGACUGCUUUUGAAACUGUGUUGCUAGAAUGCAGGAGAGGUAAGUGGAAUUCCUAGUGUAGCAGUGAAAUGCGUAGAUAUUAGGAGGAACACCAGUGGCGAAGGCGGCUUACUGGACUGUAAAUGACGCUGAGGCUCGAAAGCGUGGGGAGCAAACAGGAUUAGAUACCCGGGUAGUC